rnacentral:rRNA from 1 species
AGCGGCAGGCUUAACACAUGCAAGUCGAGGGGCAGCACGGGUGGCAAUACCUGGUGGCGACCGGCGCAAGGGUGCGUAACGCGUGAGCAACAUGCCCUAUACAGGGGGAUAAUCCAGGGAAACUUGGUCUAAUAUCCCAUAGUAUUUAGAGGAGGCAUCUUCUAUAAAUUAAAGCUUCGGUGGUAUAGGAUUGGCUCGCGUGACAUUAGCUAGAUGGUGAGGUAACGGCUCACCAUGGCAAUGAUGUCUAGGGGUUCUGAGAGGAAGGCCCCCCACACUGGGACUGAGACACGGCCCAGACUCCUACGGGAGGCAGCAGUGAGGAAUAUUGGACAAUGGAUGGAAAUCUGAUCCAGCCAUGCCGCGUGCAGGAAGACAGCCCUAUGGGUUGUAAACUGCUUUUAUAUGGGAGCAAUAAGGUCUACGUGUAGACUGAUGAGAGUACCAUAUGAAUAAGCAUCGGCUAACUCCGUG